rnacentral:rRNA from 1 species
CGCGGCCUAUCAGCUUGUUGGUGGGGUAACGGCCUACCAAGGCGAUUACGGGUAGCCGGCCUGAGAGGGCGACCGGCCACACUGGGACUGAGACACGGCCCAGACUCCUGCGGGAGGCAGCAGUGGGGAAUAUUGCGCAAUGGGCGAAAGCCUGACGCAGCGACGCCGCGUGGGGGAUGACGGCCUUCGGGUUGUAAACCUCUUUUACCACCAACGCAGGCUCCCAGUUCUCUGGGGGUUGACGGUAGGUGGGGAAUAAGGACCGGCUAACUACGUGCCAGCAGCCGCGGUAAUACGUAGGGUCCGAGCGUUGUCCGGAAUUAUUGGGCGUAAAGAGCUCGUAGGCGGCGUGUCGCGUCUGCUGUGAAAGACCGGGGCUUAACUCCGGUUCUGCAGUGGAUACGGGCAUGCUAGAGGUAGGUAGGGGAGACUGGAAUUCCUGGUGUAGCGGUGAAAUGCGCAGAUAUCAGGAGGAACACCGGUGGCGAAGGCGGGUCUCUGGGCCUUACCUGACGCUGAGGAGCGAAAGCAUGGGGAGCGAACAGGAUUAGAUACCCUGGUAGUCCAUGCCGUAAACGUUGGGCGCUAGGUGUGGGGACUUUCCACGGUUUCCGCGCCGCAGCUAACGCAUUAAGUUCCCCGCC